rnacentral:rRNA from 1 species
UAGAUCAUUCCAAACUCGCGUUUCGGCGCGGGGAUCUAUUCCUUAUUUCUAUUGGUGAAUCAUAAUAACUGAUCGAACCGUGUGUCGCAAGACGACGGUGUUUCAUUCAAAUUUCUGCCCUAUCAGCUUUCGUUGGUAGUGUAGUGGACUACCAAGGCUUUUACGGGUACGGGGAAUUAGAGUUUGAUUCCGGAGAGGGAGCCUGAGAAACGGCUACCACUUCCAAGGAAGGCAGCAGGUGCGAAAAUUACCCAAUUCCAUCUCGGAGAGGUAGUGACAAAAAAUAACAAUACUGGACCUGAUAAAGGUCUUGUAAUUGCAAUGAGUACAAUUUAAACCAAUUAACAAGGAUCCAAUAGAGGGCAAGCCUGGUGCCAGCAGCCGCGGUAAUUCCAGCUCUGUGAGUGUAUAUUAGAUUUGUUGUAGUUAAAAAGCUCGUAGUCGGAGAUGAGACUAUUUUUUUGAAAUUUGAAAGCGGGAUUCGAGUGGAAAAUUCCGCUCGGGUUCACUUUUAAUUUCGAUAGUCUUUUAAUGAGCAAUCAAGUUAGCCUCACGGCGCUCGUUUGCUCUGUUUACUUUGAAAAAAUUAGAGUGUUCAAAGCAAGGAAAAGAUUGCACCUUUACGGUGCGUCUUUGAUUUAAACCUUUUGAAUAUUUUAGCAUGGGAUAAUAGAACAAGACCUUUUUUUGAUUUUAUUGGUUUUCCAUUUUUAAUUAUUAGGUAAUGAUUAACAGGGACAGUUGGGGGUAUUAGUAUUGCGUUGUCAGAGGUGAAAUUCUUGGAUUAACGCAGGACUAACUUUUGCGAAGGCAUUUACCAAGGAUGUUUUCAUUGAUCAAGAACGAUAGUUUGGGGAUCGAAGAUGAUUAGACACCGUUGUAGUCCAAACUGUAAACUAUGCCGGCCCUGGAUGUGCAAACGUCACUUUAACAUAGUCGCGGUUUUCGAUUAGCAGCAAUGCGUCGUUAAAACUCGACUACCUAGACUUUGUGCGCACAGUAAGAGAAAUUACAAGCGUUUGGGUUCUAGGGGGAGUAUGGUCGCAAGACUGGAACUUAAAGGAAUUGACGGAAGGCCACCACAAGUUGUGGAACGUGCGGCUUAAUUUGAGUCAACACGGGAAAACUUUCCAGGGCAAGACGGAAUGAGGAUUGACAGAUUGAGAGCUCUUUCUUGAUUUUUCGGUUAGUGGUGCAUGGCCGCUCUUAGUUGGUGCUUUGAAGUGUCUGGUUAAUUCCGAUAACGAGCGAGACCUCAACUUACUAAAUAGUUGAACAAAUUUUCGAAAACCUCGUUGAUAUGAAGCGGAGUUUUAAUGAAAUAUUUAAUCGUUUUUCAUUCGCGCCGUGGAUUAUUGUUUUUAAAUUUGUUUUCUUUGUGCGGGCGUUUCGGCGCGCGCAUGAAAUACUUCUUAGAAGGACUUUUUGUAUUGAAACAAAAGGAAGUUUGAGGCAAUAGCAGGUCUGUAAUGCCCUUAG